AACGAACGCUGGCGGCGCGCCUAAUACAUGCAAGUCGAGCGAGAAGGUGUAGCAAUACACUUGUAAAGCGGCGAACGGGUGAGGAAUACAUGGGUAAUCUACCAUCGAGUGGGGAAUAACCAACCGAAAGGUUGGCUAAUACCGCGUACGCCUCCGGGUCUUCGGGUUCGGAGGGAAAGCUGCACUGUGAGUGUAGCGCUCUUUGAUGAGCUCAUGUCCUAUCAGCUUGUUGGUAGGGUAACGGCCUACCAAGGCUUUGACGGGUAGCUGGUCUGAGAGGACGAUCAGCCACACCGGCACUGCGACACGGGCCAGACUCCUACGGGAGGCAGCAGUAAGGAAUAUUGCGCAAUGGGCGAAAGCCUGACGCAGCGACGCCGCGUGGGGGAUGAAGGUCUUCGGAUUGUAAACCCCUUUCGGGAGGGAAGAUGGAGCGAGCAAUCGUUCGGACGGUACCUCCAGAAGCAGCCACGGCCAACUUCGUGCCAGCAGCC
rnacentral:rRNA from 1 species